rnacentral:rRNA from 1 species
GAUGAACGCUGGCGGCGUGCCUAAUACAUGCAAGUCGAGCGAACAGACGAGGAGCUUGCUCCUCUGACGUUAGCGGCGGACGGGUGGGUAACACGUGGAUAACCUACCUCUAUGACUGGGAUAACUUCGGGAAACCGGAGCUAAUACCGGAUAAUAUAUUGAACCGCAUGGUUCAAUAGUGAAAGACGGUUUUGCUGUCACUUAUAGAUGGAUCCGCGCUGCAUUAGCUAGUUGGUAAGGUAACGGCUUACCAAGGCAACGAUGCGUAGCCGGACUGAGAGGAUGAUCGGCCACACUGGAACUGAGACACGGUCCAGACUCCUACGGGAGGCAGCAGUAGGGAAUCUUCCGCAAUGGGCGAAAGCCUGACGGAGCAACGCCGCGUGAGUGAUGAAGGUCUUCGGAUCGUAAAACUCUGUUAUUAGGGAAGAACAAAUGUGUAAGUAACUAUGCACGUCUUGACGGUACCUAAUCAGAAAGCCACGGCUAACUACGUG